UACGUAGGGUGCGAGCGUUAAUCGGAAUUACUGGGCGUAAAGGGUGCGCAGGCGGCGUCGCAAGUCAGGCGUGAAAUCCCCGGGCUUAACCUGGGAAUGGCACUUGAAGCUACGAUGCUGGAGUAUGGCAGAGGGAGGUGGAAUUCCACGUGUAGCGGUGAAAUGCGUAGAGAUGUGGAGGAACACCGAUGGCGAAGGCAGCCUCCUGGGCCAAUACUGACGCUCAUGCACGAAAGCGUGGGGAGCAAACAGG
rnacentral:rRNA from 1 species